rnacentral:rRNA from 1 species
UAGUUGGUAGGGUAAGAGCCUACCAAGGCAGAGAUCGGUAGCCGGCCUGAGAGGGCACACGGCCACACUGGCACUGAAACACGGGCCAGACUCCUACGGGAGGCAGCAGUGGGGAAUCUUGCACAAUGGGGGAAACCCUGAUGCAGCGACGCCGCGUGAGCGAUGAAGCCCUUCGGGGUGUAAAGCUCUUUCGGCAGGGAAGAUGAUGACGGUACCUGCAGAAGCAGCUGCGGCUAACUACGUGCCAGCAGCCGCGGUAAUACGUAGGCAGCGAGCGUUGUUCGGAGUUACUGGGCGUAAAGGGUGUGUAGGCGGUUGUUUAAGUUUGGUGUGAAAUCUCCCGGCUCAACUGGGAGGGUGCGCCGAAUACUGAAUGACUUGGAGUGCGGGAGAGGAGAGUGGAAUUCCUGGUGUAGCGGUGAAAUGGGUAGAUAUCAGGAGGAACACCGGUGGUGUAGACGGCUCUCUGGACCGUAACUGACG